rnacentral:rRNA from 1 species
UACGUAGGGUGCGAGCGUUAAUCGGAAUUACUGGGCGUAAAGCGUGCGCAGGCGGUUUUGUAAGUCUGUCGUGAAAUCCCAGGGCUCAACCUGGGAAUUGCGAUGGAGACUGCAAGGCUAGAAUCUGGCAGAGGGGGGUAGAAUUCCACGUGUAGCAGUGAAAUGCGUAGAGAUGUGGAGGAACACCGAUGGCGAAGGCAGCCCCCUGGGUCAAGAUUGACGCUCAUGCACGAAAGCGUGGGGAGCAAACAGG